AUUUGAAAGCCAUGGCGAGAUAAUCGAUAACGAAUGCAAACAAAACCCAUGAUAUCAAUAUUCCAUAAAUGACCUCACGCAAGAUAUUCGCCGUUUUUUUCAACUUCUAAAAUAUAUACAAAACUAAAAUAAGUCGACGAAUAGAAAGAAAAGAGAAAGCCGACAUUUUGAAAGCUAUGACGUCACGGCCGGACAAACGAGAGUCCUUCCAAGCGUCUUCUUCGCAAGUUGAUACUGCGGCAAGAUGCGUGCAAAGUGGAGGAAGAAGCGUAUGCGUAGGCUGAAGCGCAAGCGCAGGAAGAUGCGUGCGAGGUCCAAGUAGACUGUUCCCCACUACUUUAAUCCCCUCUGACUCUAAAAAUUGACAGUAAACCACAAGACCAUCCUGAACUGCCAUGAUUUAUUGAAAUAAAUAUGUGAAGAGGGAAA
rnacentral:lncRNA from 1 species